AAAAAAAACAGAAAAAAA
rnacentral:sRNA from 1 species